rnacentral:rRNA from 1 species
UACAGAGGGUGCAAGCGUUAAUCGGAUUUACUGGGCGUAAAGGGCGCGUAGGUGGUUGCGUAAGUGAGAUGUGAAAUCCCUGGGCUUAACCUGGGAACUGCAUCUUAUACUGCGUAGCUGGAGUACAUGAGAGGGUAGUGGAAUUUCCGGUGUAGCGGUGAAAUGCGUAGAUAUCGGAAGGAACACCAGUGGCGAAGGCGGCUACCUGGCAUGAUACUGACACUGAGGCGCGAGAGCGUGGGGAGCAAACAGG